rnacentral:rRNA from 1 species
UACGAAGGGGGCUAGCGUUGUUCGGAAUUACUGGGCGUAAAGGGCGCGUAGGCGGUGUGUCAAGUCAGGCGUGAAAGCCCCGGGCUCAACCUGGGAACAGCGCUUGAGACUGGCACGCUCGAGUUCGGGAGAGGAUGGUGGAAUUCCCAGUGUAGAGGUGAAAUUCGUAGAUAUCGGGAGGAACACCAGUGGCGAAGGCGGCGACCUGGACAGAUAUUGACGCUGAGGUGCGAAAGCGUGGGGAGCAAACAGG